AAAGAGAAUUUUAGAAACUCUUUAUCGUUCUCUCUAACCUAGCUUCCGUUUUGUCUUCUCCAAAGUUGAGAGAUGUUCCCGUGGUGAGUACACAAAGUGAACAGGUUAAGGUUCUUAGAAGAAGCUUGUCACCUUCACAAAUUAGCUAAAUGUCAGACCUUCUUUCUUUCAUCAUUUUCUUAACUUAAAUACUAGGCCUUUUUUCUUUCUUUCAUCAUUUUCUUUACUCAGUGGGUUGAGCUUUGAUUGAAGCUAAUACCACUACCUAAACUAGAGAAAACAAAUUAAGAAGAUUAAAGGUCCAUGAAGUAAUCCAUUUAUUUGUGAAAUAGGAUGGUCCAACCUCCAAAUCAGAAUGUCCAAAAUAGAUCUGAUGUUACUGUUGUUUGAAUACUCAGCCCAAUAACAUCCCAAGCUCUCACUGAAUGUAGGUGUUGUUAUUCAGAAAAAUCAUUUCCAAUAACAGAGACUAAUCGAUGAUUGAUGAAGCUCCAAUUUUCAAAAGUAUGAAGUCGAGACUAUUCCAGGAUUUAGCCAUACUUUUACUUCUCCUGCUCAGUGAUCGUGGAUUGAUCGAGAAUUAACUUGAAGUGGUGAGAUUCCAUGCUUCGGAAGGCUCCAUUUCAGGAUUUUGUUUCUCUUUUUAGUUAUAAACUAUUGUAUAGUAUUUUUUUUCUAUAGUUGAGGGAAUGUCCCGACACUUUUUGUAUAUUUAGUUUUUCUUCACUGUUUAGAAGUCUUUGUCUGGACUAAUGUGGUUAUUGAGCAAUGUCGGUCGGUCAUUUGGUUGGUCGUCAGUGGUUGGUUAUAGACAUGCAUUAAAACUUUCUUAAGCCAUUGCAUACUAUCUUAUUAUAUAUUCAGAAUUCAUCUGACUUUGGGGUGUGCUAUUUUUGGAUUGGUUAGUUGCAGGGGGUGAUCUCCGGUCUAUUCAAGACUUAAGAUACCCGACACGAUCAUACCCUAGUUCGGUUCAUGUCACACAGUGGGCGUGAGUACGGUCUACUUGUACUCAUUAGGUAUCAUAAAUUGACCAAGAAAAGUAGUAAAUAAAGUAUACAAAAUAUUUACUAAGGGAAAGCAACCUGCAAUCAGAAAAUGUCCCACAACGGUCGCCCACACCGCUUUCACUUAUAGUUCUAUAAUAUCCAUACAUAAUAAUGUAACAACACACCAGAUAGUGAUACAAAUACACACAAUAUCACAUACAAGUAAUACACAUACAAGUAGACCAAAAGAGGAGCAUGUAUAAUCAAGAUCAUCAAGUACAAAUAAAGAUAGAUAGAACAAUUAGAUAUUAAGAAGUCAAUAUAUAGAACAAAUAGAUAGAUGACGAGUCAAUAUGGCAAUACAAGCACAACAUAAACAUAAUAUAGUAAGUGCAAUGUAUAUGAUGAUGAUAAUGAUGAUGAUAAGGAUGCAUGAGGUUGGCACACCACCUUCAGUUUGGCACACAACCUUGUGGUUGGCACACAACCUCUGUAUUUCUAGUAUUUCUAAUGUUUCCAUUAUUUUUAGUAUUUCAAGUAUUUCCAAAGAACAUACAUAAUAUAUGACACAAAUCAAGUUUACAUACAUGACAAUAAGUAAAUAUAAAGGAAUAAAACAAAAGAGUGAAAUAAUACGUACUAUGAUAUGAGAAUAUAACACCCAAAAUUUUUGGUUCAUAAAAAUUCCUAAACCUUUGAGCUUACUGCCCCGACUACGACUCUCCCUACGAGUCAUAGGGUGUUAUUAUGGGUAGUAUAGUCCCUAAUUAUAUCCUGACCAAUGUGUUUGGCUAAGUAUCUGUGUUGUCCAUGACUAGAAAGGACUAUACGAGUCGUAAGGUACCAAUCAUAGGGUGAACAGUGUGCUACCUAAAGGAUUCUAUCUUGACUAAGACUAGAACCCUAUGAGUCGUAGGGUCACUUGAUGAGUCGUAUGACUUAGUCAUAACCGGAUCAGUGUAGGUUCCCAUAGGUACUGUCCAGCCUACGACUAUGCGUCAUGAGUCGUAGUGUGACCCUACGAGUCGUAACGUCACCCACAGAAACUGGAAGACAGUUUUUAACUUUUAUUUAUGAGGCACUUUGGUCAUUUCCCUCCUUACCCUUUAGACUCCAUGUCCAUAAAACACCAAGGAGGGGUUAUUUUCAAUACUUUAACAUAUCAAAUACUCUCUUCACUCUCUCAAAUUCCCUAUUCAAGUCAAGGCUAGGAUUUUAAGGGAGUUGAUCAUCUAUGGUUCUAAGGGUGACUUCUUCCUCAAUUUUCUUGGUGAUUAUGGCAUGUAUCUCUCUUCUUACACUUGUAUUUUCUUAAUGGUAUAAAAUUGGUUUAUUAUUCAUAUGGUUCUGAUGUUGGGCUUGAAUUAUGUGUUGAGGGUUUUUGGAUACAAAUUGUUUGAAUGUUUUUCCCAUGGUUACGAUUGAUUUAUCACGCAUUGAAUUGUUGUUUUGUGAACUCACUGGGUUUCAUGGAAAUGGUGAGUGGAUUUAAGGGUACAAGGAUUCCCCAAACUUGUGAACAAUGUAAUUAGGGGUACAAGGAUUCCCAAAAUAAUUGAAUUUUUGUAUUGAAAUUUGUAAGAACCCCAAUCCACUUGCAUAAUUAGUUUUGGAAUGUGAUUUAUCAAUUGGCUUGACUUGCUUCUUUAAAACUAGUGUAUUGCAUAAAAUAAAAAAUGGUUAAAGAUGGCUUUGAAAACCUUGUGGGGUAUAAGGAUUCCCCCAAGUGGAUAAUAAUGGCCCUAAAAACCUUGUGGGAUAUAAGGAAUACCCCAAGUUGAUUUUAAUUUUGGAGUCUGCUAUACAAGGAUUCUCCAAAAGUAAUGACUUAAUGACAAAUGCUUGCAAGCUAUAGUCGGUAUGGCGAUACCACUUAAUGAUGCCUUUAUGAUUUACUCCCUAAUGUAAAGGUUGGGUUAUCGGUUAAAUGUUUUAAUUGGUCUAAAAGGAGAUUGUGUUAGCUAGCCAUGAUGAUGUUAGUCCCGAAGGAAUUAUACUGGAAACUCACAUUUGGCGAUGUAAGAGUUGGUCUAGAUGACCGUGCACUUAUGUCAUACUAUAUAUAUAAUUGUAUUAUGGUUGGCAUAGGGUACGAGGAUUCCUUGACCUUCUAUGAUAUCCCUAAUUGGUGCGGCGAACAUGACUUGGGGCCCGACUAGGGGGAGACAUGGGACCCAUAUAGCCCAUGGGUAGUUUUAUGAUGGUCAAGCUACACAAUCUAGGAUAAGGUUUUCAAAUUGCAUGCUAAGCCUUGUUCCCUACCCCGACAUGUUAUAUAUAUAUGUAUAUAUGCAUAUGUUUGUGUGCAUUUGGAUUUUUAGACUGAUUUUGGAUUAUUGAUCAUCGCAUUCCUUUAUCCCUUAUUCCUGAGUUACAUGCUAGUGCUUAACCUGGUAACACAGGUACCAAAAAUACUGCUACUUUUCCUGCACAGUGACUAGGUGAUCCUGGGGUAUCUUAUGAGUUGGAUUACAGUGGAGAGCUUCUAUACUUUGAAAUACCUCAUUUCAUGUUUUGGUUUCAUAGUGUUAUAGACCAUUCUUUUAGCUCUUUUUAGUUAUCAUCGGAGGUAUGUCCUGCCUUAAAUUUCCUUUAGUCUUAAUAGACGCUUGGUGGUUAUUAUUAUGGAUUGGUUAUUGAUGUUGACACUUUUAGAUGUCUAUGAACUUAUUACUGUCUAUCAUGUUAUAUGUUCAAAAUUCAACUAUUGUAGGUUUGCUAUGUUCUAUUAGCUAAGCAAAGAGGGUGGUCUCCAGUCUUUUAUGAACGUGAGAUACCCAUUAUGGCCAGGUCUUGGUUCAAGUCAUGACAAAGUUGAUAUCAGAGCCUAGGUUCAUGGUCAAUUAGGUGUCCACAAAGUAGUGUCAAGUAGUAUCUCUCUCAUAGGCAUGUAGCGUGCCACAAUUAUAAGGGAGAGGCUACGAGACAUUUAGAAAUGUCUCCCUUUCUGGUGUUCUACUUUCGGGCUAUAGAGUCUAAGGUCUUGAAGCUUCUCUAAUCGCAAUUUAUUCAUAUUUUAGAUCAUGCCUACCCAAAUAUCUGAUGCUCGUGGAACUUAUUCUGUCCUACCUAAGGACAAUGUGGGUAAAACUUGUCCUGCUUAUGAAGUUCAGACCCGGUUUAGGGCUCCAGAUCCUGAUUAUAAUACCCCAUAUGGAGUUCCAUCAGUCUCUACCAGUCCUCUUUGGGAUCCUCAAGCUAAUGAUGAUCACGUCUCAUCGUACUAUGAGAUUUUACUAAUGCAAAAUUUUGUCGAUCUAUUCAUCUGUUGACCCAAUUGGUGACCUCUUAGUCACCUUAGUUGGGUCCUAUUUGUAAUACUAUGAUUUUUUAUGAGUUUACUCGAGUCAGAUAUGAGGUUCAAUCCUUCAACCUUUACUGGCUUAAAGGUUGAGGAGGAUUCUCAAGGAUUCAUAGAUGAGAUGGAGAAGAUCUUCUGAGUUAUGCAUGCUUCUGACUCUGAGUGUGUAGAGUUUGCUGUAUAUCAAUUGAUGGAUGUGGCAUAUCAGUGGUAUAAGUAGUAGGACCAGUCUCGGAGUGAUAAUGUGAAUUUAGCACUAUGGGAAGAAUUUUUGGGUGCCUUCCUGGAUCGUUUCUUCCCUCAGGAGUUGAGAGAGGUUAAAACUGAGGAGUUUAGGAAUUUAAAGUAAGGCAAAAUAACCAUAAAAGAGUAUGCCUUAAGGCUCCACCAAUUUUCAUGUUAUGCUCUUGAGUUAGUCUCUAGCAUGAGGGCUAGAAUGAGGAAAUUUAC